UAAUAGCCUGUUAUUUUGCGUUAGGGAUAGUAGUGGAAAUCCUUUUUGAGAGGCACGAACAAAAAGAUUGUAACGUAUAGCCCGACCUUUA
rfam:Siansivirga zeaxanthinifaciens CC-SAMT-1, complete genome.